UACGGGGGGGGCAAGCGUUGUUCGGAAUUACUGGGCGUAAAGGGCUCGUAGGCGGCCAACUAAGUCCGACGUGAAAUCCCAAGGCUUAACCUUGGAACUGCGUCGGAUACUGGAUGGCUUGAAUUCGGGAGAGGGAUGCAGAAUUCCAGGUGUAGCGGUGAAAUGCGUAGAUAUCUGGAGGAAUACCGGUGGCGAAGGCGGCAUCCUGGACCGACAUUGACGCUGAUGAGCGAAAGCUAGGGGAGCAAGCGGG
rnacentral:rRNA from 1 species